rnacentral:rRNA from 1 species
AACGAACGCUGGCGGCGUGCUUAACACAUGCAAGUCGAACGGAAAGGCCCUGCUUUUGUGGGGUGCUCGAGUGGCGAACGGGUGAGUAACACGUGAGUAACCUGCCCUUGACUUUGGGAUAACUUCAGGAAACUGGGGCUAAUACCGGAUAGGAGCUCCUGCUGCAUGGUGGGGGUUGGAAAGUUUCGGCGGUUGGGGAUGGACUCGCGGCUUAUCAGCUUGUUGGUGGGGUAGUGGCUUACCAAGGCUUUGACGGGUAGCCGGCCUGAGAGGGUGACCGGCCACAUUGGGACUGAGAUACGGCCCAGACUCGUACGGGAGGCAGCAGUGGGGAAUAUUGCACAAUGGGCGGAAGCCUGAUGCAGCAACGCCGCGUGCGGGAUGACGGCCUUCGGGUUGUAAACCGCUUUCGCCUGUGACGAAGCGUGAGUGACGGUAAUGGGUAAAGAAGCACCGGCUAACUACGUG